CUGCGUGAAAGACAGGUGACCUGCCCGUUAUCCUCAUUCCCAAAGACACAACAUUGCCAGGAAAGAACACAGAAUUACAUGUGCUCAUAAAGAUUAUUAAAAAUCCAUCAGAUUCAUGGUGGGGGGAGGUAUCCUGGGUGGAUCUGUCCUUCUUUCCUUUGCUAGAUAUCUUGCAAAAUGGGGAACCUCAGCCCCUUUUACACCUUCCUUCCCCUUUCUUGGGUUUUUUUCCCCAUCAGCUGUUUUAAACAUCCCUUUCUGCUCACCUGGAGCUGCUCUCUACAAAUUUUUCCUUCUGGUUUAUGCUCCUCCACACAGCGUUUCUGUUAGUUCCUACCUCCCUAAUACACCAUGUUAUUUCCUGAGCUUUGUCCAUGAUGUGUUUGUGUUCUAAGAAAAGCUAACAUUCAGCACUGUGGUUUUGCUGCUGGCACACAUAUACAGGGCUGAGUCCCCUGGCUCAGCAGACUUGAUUUCCAGGGUGCAGGGUGAGUCGUUGGGACAUUGAGCUGAAAACUGACGAUCGAACGUUUCUAUUUUAUCAAUAAUAUCGUUGUUCUGUGUCCAGGACUCUGGGUGACCUUAGUGUCCAGGGAACCUGUGGAAGGAAGAGACAGCAACUGGAGAAAAAGCCCAGGAGGCAGCCUGAUAUUGCAGUCACAGGAGACCAUCCUGGAACCGGCAUCCAGCAAGCUCGCAGCAAGAGCUUACCUGCUUCCCAGAAAAAAAGGGCCACAGCAGAGAAGUCUGAAGAACAUGUUGGCUCGGAGGGGAAAAAGAGGUGGCAAGUGGCCUUUUCUGUCAGGCUUACCUGUCCCCAUCAGCAGCCUCCUCGUGACGUGAUCACUGGCUCUUGCCUUUGUAGUCACCAUGUGUGUGAGAGACGAAAACAUGUCAGAGAAUGUGGAGGGCAGGGAGAGCGGGUGAAAACCACCAGCGGGAGUUUCAACCUGCUCUUGUUUCCUUUUUCCCAGAGGCUGCUCUUUUGCUAUUUUUUUAAUAAAUAUUAUAAAUAUUGUUCAUUUCUUGGCUUUUUAACUUGUCAGUUUGCCUUCUCCCCUUCUCCUUGCAUCUCAGGCCAUGAAUCAUAUAGCGUGGUGUUUAUCAAUCACAGUUUUGCCGCACUUAUGAAAUCACAGAGGGGUUACUUUACGUUAAAAAUGUCGAGCUACACAAAACAUAAUGACAAAUGCACAACGCAUCUAGGGAAACCAGAGCCUGACUCCUGUUGUCUGAGCGAUCAGCUGAGGAGAUGGGUUAUUGACGGAGAAUUUAAGCCUCCGUGUUAUUCUUCCAGAUGUCAUUGUCUGGAUAUCCAUUGCCCUGAAGUUUAUAUUUUUAUUCUCCGGCUUUUCAUUGUAUUCG
rnacentral:lncRNA from 1 species